GAGGAACUCAUGGCACCUUAUGAUGUGGUGGCACAACCGUCAGACUGGUCAUCUCUUGCUUCUGGAGACCUGGCUUUGAAUUGCCGCCCCAGCAGUGAUCCUGACCCCCGUGUCCCUGCACAGGAUGCUCGGUCAAGUUCUCUGAGGAAGGAGGCCAAGCUGGACUCUGCUGGAAACUGCUGCAUUUGAUUCCGCUUCAGGCUGAGACUCCAUAUAUUCACCGUGCAGCAUCAAUGCACAUGUACCGACUGGUACGUUCCAGUUAACUACAAGUGGAGAAGCCAAAGAGAGGAUCCUACUUUGGAGGAAAGACCUUGGCCAGCUCUUCACUAUUCUAUUCUCAUUUCUGUACCACCCAGACUAGGCAAAGGGGUCAUUUUCCACAGAACAGAAACUGGAUGUCGUGAGAAUGCCCCCCAGCUCAGGAUGUCACCGGCGAUUAAUCACGCAUGUGACGGUCACACUUACGCCGGACUAAAGGCCAGAAAUUGUGUGACACGGUGUAGGUUAAAGGUCAAGUCGCGUAGACGUGAUUGCUGUCAAAUUUCAAAUGAGCCAUAUGCACCUUAUUCAUAAAUUAGUCACCGCUUAGAAAUGCCUCCACCCUGGUGAUUCCAGAACUAACCCUCAGGAGUUUUCAACAGAGAAGUGAGUGUUUUCCAGUAACCCACUUAUCACUAAAUUUGACCUUUUACUCAUGAGCACGCAGAUGAAUAAGAGAUGAUGACCGGAUCGUUCCCUUAAUUAAACCCACUGAUUGGACUCUCGGCUUCC